UACAGAGGGUGCGAGCGUUGUUCGGAAUUAUUGGGCGUAAAGAGCUCGUAGGCGGUCUGUCACGUCGGCUGUGAAAACCCGGGGCUCAACCCCGGGCCUGCAGUCGAUACGGGCAGACUAGAGUGCGGUAGGGGAGACUGGAAUUCCUGGUGUAGCGGUGAAAUGCGCAGAUAUCAGGAGGAACACCGGUGGCGAAGGCGGGUCUCUGGGCCGUAACUGACGCUGAGGAGCGAAAGCGUGGGGAGCGAACAGG
rnacentral:rRNA from 1 species